ensembl:lncRNA
AAAUCACCCGUUUUCUCUUCGAGAAUCCCCCAUUUAACCAAAAAUCAUGCAUUUUCUCUUCAAGAAUCCCCCAUUUAACCCGAAAAUCACCCGUUUUCUUUACGAGAAUCCCCCAUUUAAGUGGAAAUCACGCAUUUUCUUUUCGAGAAUCCCCCAUUUAAGCGAAAAUCACGUGUUUUCUCUUCGAGAAUCCCCCAUUUCAGCGAAAAUUACGCGUUUUCUCUUCAAGAAUCCCCCAUUUAACCCCAAAAUCACGCGUUUUCUCUUCGAGAAUCCGCCAUUUAAGCGAAAAUCACCCAUUUUCUCUUCGAGAAUCCCCCACUUAACUCGAAAAUCACGCUUUUUCUUUUCACAAAUCCCCCAUUUAACCGAAAAUCACCCGUUUUCUCUUCGAGAAUCCCCCAUUUAACCCAAAAAUCAUGCGUUUUCUCUUCGCAAAUCCCCCAUUUAACCUGAAAAUCACGCGUUUUCUCUUUGCAAUACCCAUUUAAGCGAAAAUCACGCUUUUUCUCUUCGCAAAUCCCCCAUUUAACCUGAAAAUCACGCGUUUUCUCUUUGCAAAUACCCCAUUUAAGGAAAAAUCACGCUUUUUCUAUUUGAAAUCCCCCAUGUAUGCGAAAAUCACGCGUUUUCUCUUUGCAAAUACCGCAUUUAAGCAAAAAUCACGUGCUUUCUCUUCGCAAAUCCCCCAUUUAAGCGAAAAUCACGCCGUUUCUCUUCGCAAAUCCCCCAUUUAACCCGAAAAUCAUGCGUUUUCUCUUCGCAAAUCCCCCAUUUAAGCGAAAAUCACGCGUUUUCUCUUCGAGAAUCCCCCAUUUAACACGAGAACCACGUGUUUUCUCUUCAGAUAUCACACAUUUAAGCGAAAAUCA